AGAGGAAAAAGAUACAGGGGAGGGGAAAAGAGAUCGUGACCUGGGCAUAGGAACCCUAUCCACAUUCCUCCUUGCUGCCGCCGCCUCUCUCCUUCUCCCGGCGUCUCUCCCUCUUCCCCUCUCUCUCCGUUAGUCCUCCACAACUCAUUCACACGGCAUCGGCGUCCAUGGUGCGGGCAAGCCGGAGGAAGAAGAUAGGGUCAAACUCCGCUGCUUGCCGGCCAGAGCGAGGGCAACUGACGUGACCCUGGCGACGGUGGCGGAGGCGGUGCUUCUUGUGCGGUGCUGGACCAUGGCGACGUGGGGGGCGGCCUCGUCUACAAGCACAAGGUGAGAAAUAUGAAGUGGGAAAAUCAAUUGUGUCGUCGUCCUCUUACUCGUUGCUUCCUAUCUCCAUGUUGGCCUAGGCGAGAUCUGCUGACCCAUGAGGACAAGUUGACCUACAUGGAUUCUAUGCGGAGGGGACGCGGCCACCUGGAGGCGGACGCAGCAGGCCGGCGGCAGUGCGUCGAUCUGGGCGACCUCCAGGGAGAGGGGCCACUGACUGCAAGUUGAGGGGGCAGAAACAGAGUUGUUACUUUUGGCGCUAAUAAUUCUUACUUGUUUCAGAGGAGUGGCAUGUCUAAUGUACAAUGAUGCAAGGAUUGGAUUAGAUCCAAUUGACAAGUACAAGAAUACACGAUCCAGGCAAUGCCACAUGGGCAUGGAUAUGUUCAUUCUCUUCUUUAUUCAAGCAGUUUACUUGGGCAAUGAACAAUGGUGAUCAAUAUUGAGUACAAUCAGCUUGAUGAACUCCUUCGUGCACGUGGGCAUCUUGACGGAGACACCGUUUGUCAAACAGGCCACUCUUCAUACCCUGGAAAUAUAAACGAGGUUAGAGUGGGAGAUGUUAUGUAAGCCAUUUAGUCUUCCUGAAGUGGUCAUGCUGCAAUCUGCAACCGAACAUACAGCAGGGAUGAUUGGUAUGGGAGCAGAAACACGGUGGAGAAAAUGCAGAUUGGCACUCGAUGCGUAUGUGAGGAUUAAUGGGAUACAUACAAGCGGAGAUAUAGGCGAAGUUGCAGUCAUGGUGUGCUUGUACAUCCAUGAUGUAUGACUACUCGAAGAAGAUGCCAUGGCUGCAUAACAAAGUGACCUGGUAGUAUCAUGUGUUUCGGUCUUGUUUUUUCUUUUACUGUUUCGUCCAUUCAGUUUUGUUCGUGGAGUAAGCAGUUUAGGUUUUUUUAAUUAUAUUGUGAAAGCGAUGCCAGCGGGUUCCACCUUGAAUUCGGUGUUGAAGAAUAAUGAGGUUCACCUGUUUGGAAUUUCUAAGCACCUUGUUGUAGAGAUCGGAAUGGCUAAUGAGUGGAAUUAACUAUGCGUUUUGUUUUUCUGCU